AUCAUUUUGCAGCUUAUACAUGUGAUGACUGAGUUUUUUAACUCAUAUGUGAGAUAUGCCUUUCUUACAUCUUAUUAUGACAUUAGUACAUUACCCAUUUGAUA
ensembl:snoRNA